rnacentral:rRNA from 1 species
AACGCUGGCGGCGUGCCUAAUACAUGCAAGUUGAACGCAACAAAGACACCAGAGCUUGCUCUACCGUCUUUGUUGAGUAGCGAACGGGUGAGUAACGCGUGGGUAACCUGCCUUAUAGCGGGGGAUAACUAUUGGAAACGAUAGCUAAUACCGCAUAACAAUAGAGAUUGCAUAAUCUUUAUUUGAAAGUGCCAACUGGUACACUAUGAGAUGGACCCGCGUUGUAUUAGCUAGUUGGUAGUGUAAUGGACUACCAAGGCGAUGAUACAUAGCCGACCUGAGAGGGUGAUCGGCCACAUUGGGACUGAGACACGGCCCAAACUCCUACGGGAGGCAGCAGUAGGGAAUCUUCGGCAAUGGACGAAAGUCUGACCGAGCAACGCCGCGUGAGUGAAGAAGGUUUUCGGAUCGUAAAACUCUGUUGUUAGAGAAGAAUGUUGAUUAGAGUGGAAAAUUAAUCAAGUGACGGUAUCUAACCAGAAAGGGACGGCUAACUACGUG